UACGUAGGGUGCGAGCGUUGUCCGGAAUUACUGGGCGUAAAGAGCUCGUAGGUGGUUUGUCGCGUUGUUCGUGAAAUUCCCUGGCUUAACUGGGGGCGUGCGGGCGAUACGGGCAGACUGGAGUACUGCAGGGGAGACUGGAAUUCCUGGUGUAGCGGUGGAAUGCGCAGAUAUCAGGAGGAACACCGGUGGCGAAGGCGGGUCUCUGGGCAGUAACUGACGCUGAGGAGCGAAAAGCGUGGGGGAGCGAACAGG
rnacentral:rRNA from 1 species